CCCCUCCCCGCCUCCCUGCCCACCAGCAGCCGCAGCCGUGAGCCGGCUUCCAGCAAGGAGCCGGCGAGCAGCACAAAGGAAAUGGCAAGAGGAUGUAAGAAAUUUCACAUUUUCUGGGAGUGACCAAAAAAAAAAAGUGUGUGGUUAAACUUUGAGCAGAGAUUCCCAAGUUGCACUUGAAGGAUUCUUGAAGAUGUGUGCUCCUACCCUGGAGGGGAGAGUGCCUGCUGGGGUUCCCAGUUCUCAACACUUGGUGAUCUUUACAAAUCUAGAGAGAAGAUCAGAAUGGACAUAUAGCUCGGGGCCACUUCACCUUAAAAAUGCUACCUGGUGUGUGUAAGAACCCCCACAGAUGGGGAGGAAAGCCUGAUUUAAGGCUGUAAAGAUAAUGACAUUCAUUAAAAACAAACUGAGAAGACAA